rnacentral:tRNA from 1 species
GGAGAGGUGCCGGAGUGGUCGAACGGGGCGGUCUCGAAAACCGUUGAGCCUGCAAGGGCUCCGUGGGUUCGAAUCCCACCCUCUCCGCCA